GACGAACGCUGGCGGCGUGCUUAACACAUGCAAGUCGAACGCUGAAGCCUAGCUUUUGUUGGGUGGAUGAGUGGCGAACGGGUGAGUAACACGUGAGUAACCUGCCCCCUUCUUUGGGAUAACGCCCGGAAACGGGUGCUAAUACUGGAUAUUCACUGAUCUUCGCAUGGGGGUUGGUGGAAAGGUUUUUUCUGGUGGGGGAUGGGCUCGCGGCCUAUCAGCUUGUUGGUGGGGUGAUGGCCUACCAAGGCUUUGACGGGUAGCCGGCCUGAGAGGGUGACCGGUCACAUUGGGACUGAGAUACGGCCCAGACUCCUACGGGAGGCAGCAGUGGGGAAUAUUGCACAAUGGGCGAAAGCCUGAUGCAGCGACGCCGCGUGAGGGAUGGAGGCCUUCGGGUUGUAAACCUCUUUCGCUCAUGGUCAAGCCGCAACAUUGGUUGUGGUGAGGGUAGUGGGUAAAGAAGCGCCGGCUAACUACGUGCCAGCAGCCGCGGUAAUACGUAGGGCGCGAGCGUUGUCCGGAAUUAUUGGGCGUAAAGGGCUUGUAGGCGGUUGGUCGCGUCUGCCGUGAAAUCCUCUGGCUUAACUGGGGGCGUGCGGUGGGUACGGGCUGACUUGAGUGCGGUAGGGGAGACUGGAACUCCUGGUGUAGCGGUGGAAUGCGCAGAUAUCAGGAAGAACACCGGUGGCGAAGGCGGGUCUCUGGGCCGUUACUGACGCUGAGGAGCGAAAGCGUGGGGGGCGAACAGG
rnacentral:rRNA from 1 species